rnacentral:rRNA from 1 species
CGUGUAGGCUGCUCGGAAAGUCGGAUGUGAAAGCCCUGGGCUCAACCUAGGAAGUGCAUUCGAAACUUCCGAGCUGGAGUGCUGGAGAGGAAGGCGGAAUUCUCGGUGUAGAGGUGAAAUUCGUAGAUAUCGAGAGGAACAUCGGUGGCGAAGGCGGCCUUCUGGACAGCUACUGACGCUGAGACGCGAAAGCGUGGGGAGCAAACA